AGAGUUUGAUCAUGGCUCAGGAUCAACGCUGGCGGCGUGCCUAAUGCAUGCAAGUCGAGCGCGGGCUUCUUCGGGAGUGCUGCGCGGCGGACGGGUGCGUAACACGUGGGCAACCUGCCCUGGGGUGGGGGAUAGCCGCGGGAAACCGCGGGUAAUUCCGCAUACGUUGCGGCUUCGAUCGGGAGCGGCAAGAAAGACGCUUCGGCGUCGCCCUUGGAGGGGCCUGCGGCCGAUUAGCUAGUUGGUGGGGUAACGGCUUACCAAGGCGGUGAUCGGUAGCUGGUCUGAGAGGACGGCCAGCCACACGGGGACUGAGACACGGCCCCGACUCCUACGGGAGGCAGCAGCAAGGAAUCUCCCACAAUGGGCGCAAGCCCGAUGGAGCAACGCCGCGUGGAGGACGACGGCCUUCGGGUUGUAAACUCCUUUCGGGAGGGAUGAUACGGACAGUACCUCCAAAAGAAGCCCCGGCUAACUCUGUGCCAGCAGCCGCGGUAAUACAGGGGGGGCAAGCGUUGUCCGGACUUACUGGGCGUACAGCGCGCGCAGGUGGUCGGCUAAGUUCGUGGUGACAGCGUGCGGCUCAACCGCACAGGGUCCAUGGAGACUGGUCGACUAGAGGCAUCGAGAGGGAUACGGAAUACCCGGUGGAGCGGUGAAAUGCGUAGAGAUCGGGUGGAACACCAGCGGCGAAGGCGGUAUCCUGGCGAUGACCUGACACUGAGGUGCGACAGCGUGGGGAGCAAACGGGAUUAGAUACCCCAGUAGUCC
rnacentral:rRNA from 1 species